UGUAUCGUCGAGGUCCCCUCCUGUCUCUGUAUCGUCGAGGUCCCCUCCUGUCUCUGUAUCGUCGAGGUCCCCUCCUGUCUCUGUAUCGUCGAGGUCCCCUCCUGUCUCUGUAUCGUCGAGGUCCCCUCCUGUCUCUGUAUCGUCGAGGUCCCCUCCUGUCUCUGUAUCGUCGAGGUCCCCUCCUGUCUCUGUAUCGUCGAGGUCCCCUCCUGUCAACUCCCAGCCUUUCAUCCCAAGUCAAACAGAGACAUUCAGUCUCUCCACCAUCUCCAUUUUAAAAUGUGUUUGUUUAUUUUCCUUUUUAUGUGUUUUGAGAUUAUGUUCUGUAAUGAAAAGUGCUAUACAAGAUAAAUAAAUUAUUAUUGUUAUUAUUUAUUCAAAGGCAAACCAAAUUCCGAUUCCAAAUGUUGCUCAUUGAAAAGCAUUGGAAUACUUCCUGAAUUGACUGGAAUUGACCCCAACCUUUGCAGUAGUAGUAUAGGGUAAUGUAGUUACAACAACUUACUGUAGUAUAGGGUAAUGUAGUGAAUUCACCUUGCAGUAGUAUAGGGUAAUGUAGUUACAGCACCUUACAGUAGUAUAGGGUAAUGCAGUGACAGCACCUUACAGUGGUAUAGGGUAAUGUAGUGACAUCACCU